UGGGGAAUUUUGGACAAUGGGGGAAACCCUGAUCCAGCAACGCUGCGUGGAGGACGAAGGUCUAUUGAUCGUAAACUCCUUUUGCAGGGGACGAAUGUGCGGAGCAAUCCGUACUUGACGGUACUCUGCGAAUAAGCCACGGCUAACUAUGUGCCAGCAGCCGCGGUAAUACGUAGGGGGCAAGCGUUGCUCGGAAUUACUGGGCGUAAAGGGUGUGUAGGUGGCUGAUUAAGUUAAGGAUGAAAUCCCGAGGCUCAACUUCGGAACUGUCCUUGAUACUGGUCAGCUUGAGGCUAGUAAAGGAGAGCGGAAUUCCCGGUGGAGCGGUGAAAUGCGUAGAUAUCGGGAGGAACACCAGAGGCGUAGGCGGUUCUCUAGGCUAGUCCUGACACUGAGACACGAAAGCUAGGGGAGCAAACA
rnacentral:rRNA from 1 species